rnacentral:rRNA from 1 species
UUCCAGUAAGCUAACUUUGUUACGACUUACCUCUUCUUUGGAAGAGGGCGACGGGCGAUAUGUACACCUAAAUUCAAUUUCGUUAUUAAUUUUUAUUUAAAAACUACUUCCAAAUCCUCUUUCAAUUCCUCUUUAGAAUGAGAUCCUUUAAUUAGCUUAAUGCGUAAUUAGCUUUGUCUUUAUUAUAGUCUUCACCUUGACCUGACUUAUGAAAGAAUAUUUGGGCAGAAGAUUGAAAUUCUGCCUUUAGACGGCGGUAUAAAAGAAAGAAAUGAAGAGAAAAUAAACGGGAAAAAUCGAGAAAAACAAAUUCCUCUGGUAAGAUAAAAGGCCGCCAAAAAG